UGCUGAUUGCUGCUGCUCUGAGC
rnacentral:piRNA from 1 species